rnacentral:rRNA from 1 species
AGCGAACGCUGGCGGCAGGCCUAACACAUGCAAGUCGAACGGACCCUUCGGGGUUAGUGGCGGACGGGUGAGUAACACGUGGGAACGUGCCCUUUGGUUCGGAAUAAGCUCGGGAAACUGGGUCUAAUACCGAAUGUGCCCUACGGGGGAAAGAUUUAUCGCCAAAGGAGCGGCCCGCGUCUGAUUAGCUAGUUGGUGAGGUAAAGGCUCACCAAGGCUACGAUCAGUAGCUGGUCUGAGAGGAUGAUCAGCCACAUUGGGACUGAGACACGGGCCAAACUCCUAGGGGCGGCAGCAGUGGUGAAUUUUGCGGAAUGGGCGAAAGCCUGGCGCAGCCAUGCCGCGUGAAUGAUGAAGGUCUUAGGAUUGUAAAAUUCUUUCGCCGGGGACGAUAAUGACGGUACCCAGAGAAGAAGCCCCGGCUAACUUCGUGCCAGCCGCCGCCGUAAUAC